rnacentral:rRNA from 1 species
UAAGGAAUAUUGCUCAAUGGGAGAAAUCCUGAAGCAGCAACGCCGCGUGGAGGAUGAAGGGUCUAUGACUUGUAAACUCCUGUAAAGAAGGAAAAAAUUCCCAUUUGAUGGGAGAUGAUGGUACUUCUGGAGUAAGCCCCGGCUAACUACGUGCCAGCAGCCGCGGUAAUACGUAGGUGGCGAGCGUUGUCCGGAAUUACUGGGUGUAAAGGGCGUGUAGGCGGGGAUGUAAGUCAGAUGUGAAAUACCGAGGCUUAACUUCGGGGCUGCAUCUGAAACUACGUUUCUUGAGUGUCGGAGAGGAAAGCGGAAUUCCCAGUGUAGCGGUGAAAUGCGUAGAUAUUGGGAGGAACACCAGUGGCGAAGGCGGCUUUCUGGACGAUAACUGACGCUGAGGCGCGAAAGCGUGGGGAGCAAACA